UCUUAUAUACUAAGAGAAAGUGCUUAUGCUUAGAAUUCAAGAAGAAAGCAUUUUAUACAUAUAUAUGAAAUAUAUAUGUACACAUACACAUACAUACAUAUAUAUAUAUAUAUAUAUAUAUAUAUAGAGAGAGAGAGAGAGAGAGAGAGAGACCACCAUAGGGACAAAGGCAAAUGCCUUAACUCAUGCCCUGAUAGCUAUUAAAAAAUUGUAUAAUUUUUUUUCUGUCCUCUCACCUAACUCAUAACUUGUUAGUUAUUAAAAGCUUGGUGUGUGCCUUAACCAUCCUGCUCAAAUCACCUUAUCAGCUUUAGAGACCAGGGGCAUCAUUAGGGCCAGGAGAUUCUUGCCAUGACUCUUUAGGACAAACAGCACUAAGGAUAACAACUGUUGACAGGCAAUUAAAAUGGUAAAUUCUCAGGGCCUUUAACUUCUUACUUUCCAACCUAUGUGUUCUUCUAAGAGCUACAGCAAUUCAUUCCCAUUAUAAGACAGAGAUGUGAUAUAAGAUGUGGCACAAUAUGGAAAGCUAAAAUUUGGCUAGAAUGAUUGACCAAAUGAGCAUGCCUCCUUCAGAGUAAAAUGUGUCCUCAGAGGAAAAGAAAAAUAAACCUCUGAAAAGUACCUAAAGCCAAUAUACAUUUCUAAACCUUAGCAGAAACACUCCCACCUUACAAACUGCACUUUUACAUGAAUAAAACUAUCUUCCAUUAUUCCAGGAGCCAGCCUGACACUGUAGUCAGUGCUCUGUCUCCUUCUCAAAUAGAAGCUUUAAAAAAAAGCUUUUCCUGUAUGUCCUCUUGCCUGACUUGUUUCAUUUCUACCAUUGAUAAGUAACAGACAGAUAUGAGAGGUGGAAACAUAAGAUUAAGGGGAUAGUUCUGAAAAAAAAAAAAAAGGGGGGAUAGUUCUAUACACUGGGCCUCCUGUGCUGACCCUACAUGCU
rnacentral:lncRNA from 1 species